rnacentral:rRNA from 1 species
AGAGUUUGAUCCUGGCUCAGAAUGAACGCUGGCGGCGUGCCUAACACAUGCAAGUCGAACGAGAAACUUCGAGCUUGCUCGAAGGAGUAAAGUGGCGCACGGGUGAGUAACGCGUGAGUAACCUGCCCUUGAAUCCGGGAUAACUUCGCGAAAGUGUUGCUAAUACCGGAUAUCGUCCUUGAAGCUCUGGCUUUAAGGAUGAAAGAUGACCUAUUCAUGAAAGUUGUUGUUCAUAGAGGGGCUCGCGUACCAUUAGCUUGUUGGUGGGGUAAUGGCCUACCAAGGCGACGAUGGUUAGCUGGUCUGAGAGGAUGAUCAGCCACACUGGAGCUGAAACACGGUCCAGACUCCUACGGGAGGCAGCAGUGAGGAAUUUUGCGCAAUGGGGGAAACCCUGACGCAGCAACGCCGCGUGAGUGAAGAAGGCUUUCGAGUCGUAAAGCUCUGUCAAGUGGGAAAAAAUCCUCUCAAUUAAUAGUUGAGAGGUCUGAUGGUACCGCUGGAGGAAGUACCGGCUAACUCCGUGCCAGCAGCCGCGGUAAUACGGAGGGUACAAGCGUUGUUCGGAAUUAUUGGGCGUAAAGAGCGUGUAGGCGGUUUGGUCAGUCAUAUGUGAAAGCCCUGGGCUCAACCCAGGAAGUGCAUUUGAUACUGCCAU